GGAGGAAAGUAGGGGAUCGCAAGACCUUGCGCUUUUGGAGUGGCCGAUGCCUGAUUAGCUAGUUGGUGGGGUAAUGGCCUACCAAGGCGACGAUCAGUAGUUGGUCUGAGAGGACGACCAGCCACACUGGGACUGAGACACGGCCCAGACUCCUACGGGAGGCAGCAGUGGGGAAUUUUGGACAAUGGGCGAAAGCCCGAUCCAGCAAUGCCGCGUGAGUGAAGAAGGCCUUCGGGUUGUAAAGCUCUUUCAGUCGAGAAGAAAAGGUCGCGACUAAUAAUCGCGACUCAUGACGGUAUCGACAGAAGAAGCACCGGCUAACUACGUGCCAGCAGCCGCGGUAAUACGUAGGGUGCGAGCGUUAAUCGGAAUUACUGGGCGUAAAGGGUGCGCAGGCGGCUUUGUAAGUCAGAUGUGAAAUCCCCGGGCUUAACCUGGGAAUUGCGUUUGAAACUACAAAGCUAGA
rnacentral:rRNA from 1 species